GCCCGGCUGACGAGUCCUAAACAGGACGAAACGCGCAUCCUGGAU
rnacentral:hammerhead_ribozyme from 1 species